rnacentral:rRNA from 1 species
GACGAACGCUGGCGGCGUGCUUAACACAUGCAAGUCGAACGGAAAGGCCCUGCUUGCAGGGUACUCGAGUGGCGAACGGGUGAGUAACACGUGGGUGAUCUGCCCUGCACUUCGGGAUAAGCCUGGGAAACUGGGUCUAAUACCGGAUAGGAGCCAUUUUUAGUGUGAUGGUUGGAAAGUUUUUUCGGUGUAGGAUGAGCUCGCGGCCUAUCAGCUUGUUGGUGGGGUAAUGGCCUACCAAGGCGGCGACGGGUAGCCGGCCUGAGAGGGUGGACGGCCACAUUGGGACUGAGAUACGGCCCAGACUCCUACGGGAGGCAGCAGGGGGGAAUAUUGCACAAUGGGCGCAAGCCUGAUGCAGCGACGCCGCGUGGGGGAUGACGGCCUUCGGGUUGUAGACUCCUUUCGCUAGGGACGAAGCUUUUUGUGACGGUACCUAGAGAAGAAGCACCGGCUAACUACGUG